GGAAGCGGCGGCGGUGGCGGGGUCGGGAGGGGAUCACUCCUGCGAUCGACUUGUCCCUCCAGGGAGCUCACGGGCUCCGCGCCCCCGCGCGCUCUGCGACUCCGGCGGCCCCAGGAACCGCGCGCUGGGAGAGGAGGAAACUGAGGUACAAGGUUACUCCCAGCAUACAAGUCACAAGCCACCAGGUUGCUGGAUUCCACACAUCUGGAGGAUGGCAGAGCCAGGACUGGGCUGCUGAUUCCAAAGUAGAAUGGGUUCGGUGCUGGGGUUCCCUCUCCAAGACCAGGGCCCUAGGCCCAGCCAUGCUCCACUGGUUGCAUGUUACUUGUGUGCAUAUGAGGGAGGGGGAUGUGUAUGGCUGAAAUCUACCUGCUCCACCUCAGUCAGGUGCAGAUUGGACAAACUGAAUGUAAGGGACAAGGACUCAAGUGUUAGGGAGAGCAGGACAGUGGCGUCCUUAUCCAUCCCAUGACCCAAAGCUGUCAGAGUUGAGAGGGAGGAAAGGAGGUGGCAAACAAAGGGGUAGGGCUUGGUGGUGAAGUGGGCAGAAAUCUACCUUCCUGAGGAGCCCAGAGUUCCCUGCCCCUCUACCUGCCCCUGUGCCCCCUCGUCCCUACACCUCCAGCCCCCUCUCACCACCUGGGGUCCUGGCUGCUGGUUGGCUGGGCUGCUGGGCUGGUUGCUGAAGCCUGGUGGUCAAGGGAACCUCUUCAGUACCAUGCACACUCACUCGGGCAAACACACACACACACACACACACACUCACUCACUGGACAGUGGGAAAAGGAUGAGGAGAGGAGUUCCGAUUCCCUGACCCCAGCCCUACAGUCAGGAGGAGGCUCUGGACCACAGGUGCCUCCACAGGAUGAGUCUACACAAGCUCUGCUUCCACAGGACGUGUCUACACAGGCUUUAACCCGGCCAGGCUAACGGGUAAAAAGACAUUCGCACUGGAUGGCCCCCUGAGUCCACCUCCCAGGCCCCAGGAGAGUGAGAAGCACCAGGACGCUGUUCUUGGAGGGGGAUGGAAGUCAUCUGGAGUGGCAGGUCUGGGAGCAUCUGUCUCCCUGAUCCCACGGGAGAGAGAAGAGAGUGAUGGUAUGGACCAGGGGGUCUGUCUCAGGUCUCCAAGGGCCGGCUGGCUGGUCUUGAGCGAAUCUCCUAGCCCUCCCCAUCCUGUUUCUUCACUUGCAAAAUGGGAACAGUCGACUCCGCCCCGCUAGGGCAGCAGGGAUUCGCAGAAGAGAUGAAGGGUGUGAAAACAUUUUGAAAAGUGGAGUCCGGGGCCGGCCCGCUCUGAAAUCACACUUAGAUCAACCACCUCAGGGCUUAGGUGUCCAGCAUCUGGCCCUAUACUGACCUCUAAAAUAUCAUGACCCCAAGGUUUCCCAGAGUCUCUUCACCACAUCAGGACAUGCUGAUCUGAGCACCAUUCAGAUGGAGGACUCUUCCCCGGGGACCUAGCUGCUUCCCAGCUGCUUCUGCUGUGGUCCUGCUGUGGGCUGGUGGCCAAGCCUUUCCUCCUUAUUUGAAUAGUGAGGGGAGUGCAGCCCAGGUUCUUGAGGCUCCUCCAGGCCUGAGCUGUGAUUCCAUGAUUCCUAAAAUUUCCUCACCUGGAAUGGAGGCCCAGAGGUUCCCUUGGCCCCCUGGGAUCUUAUCAGAUGAAUGUCCCUUCCCUGCUCCUUUCCUCCACUCGCCGUGACCUUUCUCCUUUUCUGUCCACCCUUGGGUUUCUGAGGAGCUGGAGGGAAUACGUCACUUUGCUUCCUUCUGUGUUGAGUUGCCUGAAAUUCCCUGAAUGUCAGCGUGCCUGUGUGAAAGUUGGCUGCAUUAGCAAUGCUGCUGGGGUUCCAGGCACCCACGUGUACCAGAUAUCUGUUAUAAUUUCUCAAAUUCCACCAUCGUAAGAACAGUUCCUUUUUAAAGAGCAGGUUUCUGGGGACACCAGUGUCCAUCCUUAACACGACGAGAGCUGGGGAACAGAUAGGGUUUCCUGGGUAGCACAUAGUAGAAACUGACUGUGGUUAACUUGAGUAAAAAGGGAGGCCUUCUUGAAAGGACACUGGGGGUCUCAGAGCAGAGAGGAAGCCUAGAGUCAGCAACCAGGGCAGAGGGCUAGAGGACCCUUGGGGUUUACAGGAAGGGAUACCCUGCUUCCAAUCUAAGAUCCACAGGUCUGCAGAUGGCCUUUUGUUGACUCCAAAGUCCAAGAAGCAGCCGGAUAGAUUUAAGUCCAAGUCCAGCCCAUCCACGCAAACUGGGCUCAGAGCCAGCCUGGUUUCUCUGUUGAGUCUUGCCGAUAUCAAGUUCAUUUUGGUGCUUCUUAAUUAAAAAGCAAAACAAACAAACAAACAAAAACAAACCAUAAAACACUAUUGAGCUAGUCAGCUGCAGGUCACUCCUUCAGUUCCCACGAAUCCUUAGGCCCCAUCAUCCUCUGGCCGUCUGCCUAUGGGAGAGGACACUAAGGUGGGGCUUAGCUGCAGGAGGGGGUCCAAUAGACCCUGAACAUAAAUGGUAGAGAUUUUUCUCUUCACUUUGCGGUAAAGAGUUUAAAAUUCUAGACUAUUUAUACGUCACAACUCAGUACAUACUAUCUCAUUUGGACCAAAUGAAUUCAGCAUUCACGUCAUGCGGGGCUGGGCUGAAGUUUACUUUUUCACUGUCAGUCAAAGACAGUGGAAAUCGGCUGGUAGGGGGCACGUCUUCCCUACCUGGAGCAUAAAUGAAUUUGGACUUCUCUUGCCACUGUAGUGUUCCUGUGCGUCUGUCUGCAUCCAGGUACAGACGAGCUCAUCAUGAAGAGCUCUCCCUAGUCAAUCAAGUUCACCUGGCUGACCUUCUUUUCAGGCUAUGUCUUGUUAGUCGUUAACUGAGAUGACUAUUAAAAUGAGGAAAUUACUGUGUGACAUAA